GACGAACGCUGGCGGCGUGCUUAACACAUGCAAGUCGAACGGAAAGGCCCUGCUUUUGUGGGGUGCUCGAGUGGCGAACGGGUGAGUAACACGUGAGUAACCUGCCCUUGACUUUGGGAUAACUUCAGGAAACUGGGGCUAAUACCGGAUAGGAGCUCCUGCUGCAUGGUGGGGGUUGGAAAGUUUCGGCGGUUGGGGAUGGACUCGCGGCUUAUCAGCUUGUUGGUGGGGUAGUGGCUUACCAAGGCUUUGACGGGUAGCCGGCCUGGGAGGGUGACCGGCGACAUUGGGCCUGCGAUACGGCCCAGACUGCUACGGUAGGCAGCAGGGGGGAAUAUUGCACAAUGGGCGGAAGCCUGAUGCAGCAACGCCGCGUGCGGGAUGACGGCCUUCGGGUUGUAAACCGCUUUCGCCUGUGACGAAGCGUGAGUGACGGUAAUGGGUAAAGAAGCACCGGCUAACUACGUG
rnacentral:rRNA from 1 species